rnacentral:rRNA from 1 species
AGCAGCCGCGGUAAUUCCAGCUCCAAUAGCGUAUAUUAAAGUUGUUGCAGUUAAAAGCUCGUAGUUGAAUUUCGGGAUCAAGUCGUCGGUCGUGCUCAGGUACGUACUGGCGUCAUUGAUUUCUCCCUUCUGACGAACCAUGAUGUCAUUAAUUUGGUGUUAUGGGAAAUCAGGACUGUUACUUUGAAAAAUUAGAGUGUUUAAAGCAGGCUCACGCUUGAAUACAUUAGCGUGGAAUAAUGAAAUAGGACGUUCGAUCCUAUUUUGUUGGUUUUAGGAUCAACGUAAUGAUUAAUAGGGAUAGUUGGGGGCAUUAGUAUUCAAUUGUCAGAGGUGAAAUUCUUGGAUUUAUUGAAGACUAACUACUGCGAAAGCAUUUGCCAAGGAUGUUUUUCAUUAAUCAAGAACGAAAGUUAGGGGAUCGAAGACGAUCAGAUACCGUCGUAGUCUUAACCAUAAACUAUGCCGACUAGGGAUCGGAUGAUGUUAAUUUUUUAAUGACUCAUUCGGCGCCUUACGG